AUUGAACGCUGGCGGCAGGCCUAACACAUGCAAGUCGAACGAGUGGCGGACGGGUGAGUAACGUCUGGGAAACUGCCUGAUGGCUGGGGAUAACUACUGGAAACGGUGGCUAUUACCGCUUACCUGCGGCUUUUCCCUGGUGGGACUAGCUAGUAGGUGGGGUAAAGGCUAACCUAGGCCACGAUCCCUAGCUGGUCUGAGAGGAGGAACAGCCACACUGGAACUGAGACACGGUCCAGACUCCUACGGGAGGCAGCAGUGGGGAAUAUUGGGCAAUGGGCGCAAGCCUGACGCAGCAAUGCCGCGUGUAUGAAGAAGGCCUUCGGGUUGUAAAGCACUUUCAGCGGGGAGGCGUUACCCGCAGAAGAAGCACCGGCUAACUCCGUGCCAGCCGCCGCGGUAAUAC
rnacentral:rRNA from 1 species